AACGUAGGUGGCGAGCGUUAUCCGGAUUUACUGGGCGUAAAGGGUGUGCAGGCUGCCCCUCAAGUGGUGUAUGAAAGGGCUCGGCUCAACCGGGCUAGGUUAUGCCAGACUGAGGGGCUAGAGAGCGAGAGCGAGACGUGGAAUUCCGGGUGUAGUGGUGAAAUGCGUAGAGAUCCGGAGGAACCCCAGAGGCGAAGGCGGCGUCCUGGCUCGCAUCUGACGCUCAGACACGACAGCAUGGGGAGCGAACGGG
rnacentral:rRNA from 1 species